ACCAAUUCUGGGGGAUAUCUAGUUCCUCUUGGUAUAAUGGCUCGGACGCAAGACCAACGAUGUGGUCAUCCUGAUUGAUGGUUUAAUGACAAUACCAUUUGGUCUUGGAAACGCCACCAACAUCA
rfam:Cajanus cajan Scaffold000400_27, whole genome shotgun sequence.